rnacentral:lncRNA from 1 species
GACAAAGGUCAGGUAUCAUGCUACUUUCAUAUUCUCCAGAGCACCUAGCAUAGUUCUGUACAAGAUAGGCACUCAAUAACUAUUUGUCGACUUGAAAUAAUAAGGCCUCUAUUGGAGCUACUAACCAAAAAAUGAAAAGGAACUAGACCCAGAGAGGAUCAAAUGUGUAAAUGCCAAUUCAGAGAGGUGAGCAAAGCAGGAAGAAAGAAAGAAGGAGGGGAGGUCAAGAUGAGAACUCUGCUGACUCCUGAUUCUCCAAGAAUGGAGAAGAUCAGGGAAAGUCUGAAUGAAGGCCAGCAGGCAGUAUCAGCCGAACCAAGAAGGGCCAUAAAGCUGCAGACCAGGAAAUCUGCCCUCUGAGAGCACAGAAUUUAGAAUGGACAGCAAAUUUAGUAAAAGUGUUCCAGCUAGAAGAUUUGGAUGAAAAGUGAUUCCAAAAAAAUGAGGCAAUCUCAUCCCGAAACUAUUUAAAACUACUCUCCUCUCUCUUGAUAAACCGUCAGUAGGAAGUGUGUCGUUUAUUCCCUCACUCCACACUGGAUUCAUAUGGGCUGAUAGCAGCAGGAUUAAAAAUUUUUUUCAUCAUGAGUUAAAUCCCUAAGAUUUAGAGUAUUUUGUUUGUCUGAAUGUCUAAGCGGUACAAACCUUAGCAAUCCAUAUUAAAAUGGAGAAUUCCUUCUUUUGGUAUUCACAAGCAUAACAUACAUAAUCCUUUA